rnacentral:lncRNA from 1 species
AGGAAAAUGCGUUUCUUAAAGAAUCUAUUGAGAAAACUGGUUCUAGUCAACAAGCACAUAAGGCUUCCAAUACCCUGAAGAUAAAUGGGAUGACAGAACAAUUACCAGCAGCCCGAAAUCAGAUGUGCACCCAGGAAGCCAGCUAUGACAGAGAGUUUGCUAAAGCGCUUAAGGUGUUCUACCAAAGCAUGAAUGUGGCAAGAGGGCAGUUUCUCAAAUUAAGACAUUAUAAACCUCCUGUAAGUAACCAGAAUCCUGGAUCGAAAGGAAUUUCUUUCCACUAAAUGUAGAUAUUUGAUAGAACUGCAUUUCACGAACUUGGGGAGGAGCAUAUGUUUAAGUAGAAGAGCAGGUCAAGGCCUGGAACAGUGUGAGUCUACACAUCUCAGGCCUCCAUCCGUUGCUCCCAUUUUUCACUUUAGUAUUCCUCUGGCUGGUUCAGGCAGCCAUGCCAUUGCAGGAUUGAUAUUCAUUAACUUUGAGGUUUUUUUUUGUUUGUUAACUUUUAAAAAAUUAUAGCUGAUUUACAAUGUUCUCAAUUUCUGAUGCACAGCAAAGUGACCCAGUUAUACAAAUAUAUACAUUCUUUUUCUCAUAUUAUCUUCUAUCAUGUUCCAUCACAAGUGAUUAGAUAUAGUUCUCUGUGCUAUACAGCAGGAACUCAUUGCUUAUCUACUCCAAAUGCAAUACUUUGCACCUAUUAACCCCAAACUCCCAGUCCAUCCCAUUUGCUCCCCGUAGGCAACCCAAUUCCAUUCUCUAUGUCCAUUAAUUUCUACUCUGUAGAUAGCUUCAUUUAUGCAAUAUUUUAGAAUCUAUAUAAGUGAUAUCAUAUGGUGUUUAUCUUUCUCUUUCCAACUUUGCUUGGUAUGAGAAUCUCUAGUUCCGUCCAUGUUGCUGCAAAUAUCAUUAUUUUAUUUUUUAUGACUGAGUAGUAUUCCAUUGUGUACUUGUAUCACUUCUUCUCAAUCCAUUCAUCUGUCAAUGGACACUGAGGUUGUUUCCAUGUCUUGGCUAUUGUGAACAGUGCUGCAAUGAACAUAAGGGAGCAUGUAUAUUUUUCAAUGAAAGUUUUGUCCAGAUAUAUGUCCAGGAGUGGGAUUGCUGGAUUAUACGGUAGUUCUAGAUUUAAUUUUCUGAGGUACCUCUAUACUGUUCCCCAUAGUGGUUGUACCAAUUAACAUUCCCACCAACAGUGUAGGAGGGUUCCCUUUUCUUCACACCCUCUCAGAACUGACUUAUUAGUGACAGUCAUUCUGACUGGUGUGAGAUGGUACCUCAUUGUAGUUCUGAUUUGCAUUUCUCUAAUAAUUAGUGAUGUUGAGCACUUCUUUAUAUGCCUGUUGUCCAUCUGUACGUCUUUGGUGAAAUACCUAUUUAGGUGUUCUGCCCAUUUUUCAUUGGGGUUUAUUUUUUUGUUGUUGUUGUUGAGUUGUGUGUAUUGUUUGUAUAUUUUGGAGAUUAAGCCCUUGUUGAUUAAUAGUUUGCAGCUAUUUUCUCCCAUUCUGUAGGUUGUCUUUUUAUUUUAAUGGCUUCCUUUGCUGUGCAAAAGCUUGUAAUAUGAUUAGGUGCCAUUGGUUUGUUUUUAUUUCUAUUGCUUUGGGAGGCUGACCUAAGAGAACAGUUGUAUAGUAGAUAUCAGAAAAUGUUUUGCCUAUGUUCUCUUCCAGGGGUUUUAUGGUGUCUUGUCUUAUGUUUAAGUCUUUAAGCUAAUUUGAGUUUAUUUUUGUGCAUGGUGUGAGGGUGUGUUCUAGUUUCAUUGCUUUACAUGUAGCUAUCCAGUUUUCCCAGCACCACCUGCUAAAGAGACUAUCUUUUCCCCAUUUUAUAUUCUUGCCUCCUUUUGUCAAAGAUUAAUUGACCAUAGAUGUCUGGGUUUCUUUCUUUCUUCUUUAUUGUUCCAUUGGUCUGUCUGUAUGUUUUUGUACCAGUACCACACUGUCUUAAUUACUAUAGCUUUGUAACACUGUCUGAACUCUGGGAGAGUGCCGCCUGCUUGGUUUUUACCCCUCAGGAUUGCUUUGGCAAUUUGGGGUCUUUUAUGGUUCCAUAUAUAGUUUUGGAUUGUUUGUUAUAGUUCUGUGAAAAAUGUCAUGGGUGAUUUGAUAGGGAUUGCAUUGAAUCUGUAGAUUGCUUUGGGUAGGGUGGCCAUUUUAAUGAUAUUAAUUCUUCCAUCUAGGAGCAUGGAAUAGCUUUCCAUUUCUUUGAAUCCUCUUUUAUUUCUUUGAGGAAUGUUUUAUAGUUCUCAGCAUAUAAGUCUUUCACCAUAAUCAGCUUUACUCCUAGGUAUUUACUUUUUGGGGUGUGAUUUUAAAAGGUAUUGUAUUUUUAUAUUCCUUUUCUAAUAUUUCAUAGUUAGUAUACAGAAAUGCAACUGAUUUCUGAGUGUUAAUCUUGUAUCCUGCUACUUUGCUGAAUUCAUUGAUCACUGUGAGUAGUUUUUGUAUGGAGUCCUUUACCUCUUCUCUUCCAAUAAAUACCUUUUAUUUCUCCUGUUUAUUGGACUACUUGUGGUUAAGACUUCCAAUACUAUGUUGAAUAAAAAUGGUAAGAGUGGGCAUCUUGUCUUAUUCCAGAUUUUAGUGGGAAGGCUUUCAACUUUUCUCCAUUGAGUAUUAUAUUGGCUGUGGGUUUGUCAUAAAUGGCUUUGAUUAUUUAUGUUAAGGAAUGUUCCUUCUAUACCCACUUUGGUAAGAGUUUUUAUCAUGAAUGGAUGCUGGAUUUUGUCAAAUGCUUUUUCUGCAUCUAUUGAGAUGAUCAUGUGGUUUUUGACUUUUCUUUUGUUAAAAUGAUGUAUGACCCUGAUUGAUUUGCGUAUGUUGAAUCAUCCUUGUGAACUUGGGGUGGAUUCCACUUGGUCAUGGUGUAUGAUCUUUUUUAUAUGUUGUUGGAUUUGGUUGGCUACAUUUUGUUGAAAAUUUUUACAUCUAUAUUCAUCAAAGAUUUUGGCGUAUAAUUUUCUUUCUUGGUAGUAUCUUUGGUUUUGGUAUUAGGGUGGUGGCUUUCUAGAAUGUGUUUGGGAGUAUUCCUUCUUCAACCUUUUGAAAAAGUUUAAGAAGGGUAUAAGUUCUUCUUUAUAUGUUUGACAGAAUUUGCCUGUGAAGCCAUCUGGUCCAGGAUUUUUGUUUGUAGGGAGUGUUUUUAUUACAUAUUCAACUUCAUUUCUAGUGAUCGGCCUAUUCCGUUAAUCUAUCUCUUCUUGACGCAGUUUUGGUGGGCUAUAUGUCACUAGAAAGUUGUCCACUUCUUCUAAGUUGUCAAUUGUUAUAAUUGUUCAUACUAAUCUCUUUUGGUUUUUGUAUUGCUGCAGUAUCCAUUGAGAUUUUUUUUCUUAACUCAGUGAAUUUUAUUACAUUCAUAGUUGUACAGUGAUCAUCAUGACCCAGUUUCACAGCACUUCCAUUCCAAACCUCCAGCCCAUUUCUCCCAUCCCCAACCUGUCUCCUUCGGUAACUGUAAGUUUUUCAAAGUCUGUGAGUCAGUAUCUGUUCUACAAAGAUGUUCAUUGUAUUUAUUUUUUAGAUUCCACAUAUAGGUAUAGCAUAUGACACUGGUGUCUAACUUCACUUAGCAUGAUAAUUUCUAUGUCCAUUCAUGUUGUUGCAAAUGAUAUUUCAAUCCUUUUUAAUGGCUAACAUUCUGCUGUGUAUAUGUACUACAUCUUCUUUAUCCACUCCUCUGUUGAUAGACAUUUAGGUUGUUU